GCACCUGUAGCGCAAUGGAUAGCGCAUCGGUCUUCGGAACCGAGUGUUGGGGGUUCGAGUCCCUCCAGGUGUG
rnacentral:tRNA from 2 species